rnacentral:misc_RNA from 1 species
CAUACACAAUGUCCCAGGAUUCU